CCCGCCCCCUCGACGCCCCCUCCUCGCCGAGGCGGGGAGGAGCUCAGUAGGGGGAGGGGUCUGGAGAGGGAUGGAGAAUAGAGAGAGCAAGGCUCAGGGAAGUGCAGGGGACCUGAGUAUUUGCUGUACCCACCACCGACUCUGCAGGGAUCCGGGAGAACCUAAGUGACUUGUGCGAUUCCGUGGACCCUGGGGAGAAUGGUCCAUUCUGGGCAUACCUGGAGGCUCUGGCCAACAGUUCCCCCAGAAUUCUCCAGGUGGGGGCAGGGGAAGAGGCGGGCCCCGCCAACUCUUCAGCAACCCAAAAUCUUAACGGCAGACCCAGAACAGCAGGGUGUCCUUAAUGUCCCCAAGUAACCUGAAGAUGCUGUGUAGCCCGGAGAGGGGCUGAAGUGUGCAUGACUGGGGUCUGGUUUGGCUGUAGACCAAUCUGAACCCAAAGGUAGAAACACGCUGGGCUCUGAAAGCCAGGCUGAAGUCUGCUAACUGACAAAUUCAUCCCAAGUCCAUCUCCAGGCAGUCUGGGCUGUGUCAGGAUGCCUUCCUACAGGCCCUGCUGGAGAUGAUACAAACAACGGGAGGAAGAGAGGAGAGAUCCAAGAAUCAACACUCCUCCUGCUGCUCCAUCCAUCACUGCCCCUCACCUUCUGUGAAGGGCCCCAACACAAGCCCUGCUUCAUACCCUCUUCAAUCAGGACUCAAGUCACAGAAAGGUUACCUGAUUCUUUUAUUUAAGAAAAGUGAAAUACAUGGACCUGAAGUGAGACAGCAGAGGGAGGGAGUAAGAGCGGCCAGGGCAAGGCAGCUUGGCUGGCCAGCCCCCAACCCUCUGACUGAAAAGCCAGCAGCAGGCUGCAUCUCUGAGGGCCAUACCUGCUUUGUACCCACCUUGGGGCCUCAGAGCUAGCUACUCUAGAGGACCACAGGGUGCAGAGAGGGUGUCCUGAGGGUCCUUCCUAAGAGGGAUUCCUGAGGAGGGAGCUGAGACCCUAAGGGCAGCAGCAAUCUUCUGGUUAAACUGCUCCCCUUCACUGUCCCACCUAGGGGUGGGGAAGAGCCAGGAGCAAUGGGGAAUGCUGUGAGGGCUGUGGGGGUGGGGGGACCCAGCAGACCUGGGGGCCGGGUUGAAUGUCAGCUGCUUGAAGAGAGGUCCAUGGUGCUGGCACUGAGGCCCCGGGAGACCUGAAACAGACAACACUACCCCAUCAGCUCAGGGACCUCGGCCUCCCAAAGACUGGCUCCUAGAGUCCAUCCAUCCCAUGGUCACAGUGUAUCUCUGGACCUAGGAUCACAUCUGUCUCUGGACCAGUCUAUCUCUGGACCUGGGACUUUGUUUAGCCUCUGCUAGGGUUUUCCAGAAGGCCACAAUCUGGUGGAGAAGCUACCUGGAAGAACCACAUGAAUACUGGCAUAUACUUGUGUGUUGAUACAAGAAGUCAUUUGCCAUUAAAAUAUCACUAGUGUUUUCUCA